ensembl:lncRNA
UGCCUAUUAUGUACAUAAAAUUGAUAGAUUCCAAGAGAGAGGACAAAGCCAUCAAGUUUCAAGGUUUAUUUAGCACUGGCUCAUUUGCAACAUACUUGGGACCUCAGAAAAGCCUUCCUACCAGUGUUUUAAAGACCACUAGGCAGCCACACCACACCAACGGGACGUGGGAAUCUUUCCCCUUGCAGCCUGACCUGGCCUAUAAUCCCCACCGCAGCUUUUUUAAAUUAGGUAAGGCAGGACGAUCCCUUCAGCAGCUGUAAAAACACGUUUCUAGCUCAUGAACAUCUAAGAAGAAGAGCCUCAAACCCUCCCUCACUAUUGUGGACCGCCUCAUCAAACUGGAGAUGCUGUUCUGCAAAGUGCGUGGCAACACCCUCCCUAAGGAGGUCUGCUGAGGACUUUUCUUCGGAGAGCAGAAUGUAGGCCUCCAAACCACUCCAGCAAACCUACCCUCCCUCCCCCAGCUCACAAGGCCUCCGGUCUGCACCCCACAAUCCAAAGUCCAGCUCUGGCCCCGCGGAAGACCCUCUGCUCAAGCCCCACAGGGAUCUAUUGGCAGCAACCCUCCGGGCCCAGCCUUCUUCCUUUCUGGCUCUAUCACCCUUUUCUUACCAACACUAUAACCAAGAGAAAUCACUCACCCGUGGGCUUUUUCUACCUCAAGGGGAAAGACCUGAGGAGAAAACUGCAAGCCAAACCCAGGGAGAGGAAACGAGCUUGUCUCAGCAGAGCCAGGAAGUGGGGCGGGGCGGGGCCUUGGGAAGGGAUGGGAAAACGGGAAGAAGGUGGCUUAGCCCGGAAUCCAGGAGGAAAGUGAAGGUGGGCAAUGGAAGUGGAGUGGGCCCUGGCUGGAUGACGAGGUGGAGUGAGGGUUUAAAUGAGCUUGGUUGGAGGCUGGGCAAACAGGAUAUGGAUUUAGAAGUAAACACGCUUUUCAGGGUCCUGGGUAGGGAGGAGGUUCCGAUUGGCUGGAGGAAAGUCGGGGAGGGGUGGAGCCCUGCCUGUGGCUAUUUGGGGACCAGUCGCAGAUCCAGCUAAAGAACCUCUGCCCAGGAGUCCUGGAAACAAGGGUAGAAGCACCCCCAGCCUCUCCCAGAAUCUCCUUUAGUUUCCUCCCCCACCACCACCCAUCCCCGCCCCCUCACCCGUGUUUCCCAUCGCUCCAGAAAUAAAACUAAAAGGGACUGGCUUAAGCUUCACCACAAGGGAUUUCCUGUGCCAGUCAUUCAGCGUUCAUGGCAUAUUCUAACCAAAUAUGCGUUGAGCAUUGUGCUGGAGGAAAAAAAUAUGAAAAAGAUAUAGUCCCUGCCUAGAGAGCUUCCUGCUGUAGCCAUUCAAAAAGUAGAGCUUCCAAGCCCUGAAACAGUGACCAGAGGAAGGUGCCUCCUCCUUCCCAGAACAUUAAUCUUCAAACAGAGGCAACACUGUGAGCUGUCAGGGAUGCAGAAGGUGGGCCUACUUAGAGACUGAGGGCUGAAUGGACAAGAGAUCAGCCCAAGAAGCCAUUGGUCUCAAGGAAAAGGGGCACCACUGCCUUUACUUGAUAGUGCUGAGUUAGGCGCAGUGGAGACUGGCUGGAGGUGGGAGGGGGGAGGAGAAGCGUAGAGGCAGGACCCUGAAGAGAGAGGGUCUAUAGUAACCAUACUGGGCCAGAGCAUUGAAGCUGGAGCAGAAGGAAUUGCCCCAGAUCUCGGAAAGAGCCCCCAGCUGAGGAAAGCCUGAAGAUCACAUUGUCCCUGCCCAAACACGACUCCAGGCUUUGACCAGGGGCAUUAAUUGAGCAGCUCCUUGGUUCCAGGCACCCUGCUGGGUAGCAGAUGAGUGGCCCCAGCCCAGACUCCAGAGCCAAAAUUCCUAGAGGCAAAGGAGGAAUUGGAAGGAAUUGGAGAGACGGCUGUAAAGACAGAACAGUAGGGGAGGGGCAUCUGGGUGUUUGAUUUAUGUUCCAACAGUCCUAGGCUGUCUUCCCCUGCCUCAAGCCAGGAUUUUCCCAGAUGUGCAUCUGCUUGAGGGAAAGGAGGGUGGCUGCAGGGGGAGGGUCUCCAUGUCCUUGCAUCUGGUCCCAAGAGCAAUCCCUUCCCCUUUCUCCCUGCGCUAUUCACUGCCUGCUGGGUAGAGGGUGGGAGAUGGAGGGAAAUGCCAGGGCCCCCAGAUAAUCACUAGGUAAUGAAAAGACCUGGCCCAGGGCUGGGGAGAAUGCAGAGGAUGCAGAGUUGGGGCCAUAAAUCUCUCUUGGAGGAGGGGGUCCAGAAUGGGGGACCUGACAGUUGGAGCCCAUCCAGGUGCUGCUCGGUGGUGGAUGUGCCCGGAAAGCUGAUAGGGUGAAGCUGCUGCCAUAGCUGCCCCCAGGCUCCCUCCCAGUGCCAACCUGGGGAGCUCAGAGACCCCUACACGGAUACGAAAACCCAUCCUGCCUCCCCAACUCUCUCCCCUAAAAUGCUGCAAUCAAAAGAGACCUGAGGCUCAGCCUUCAAUUUUUGGGAGCUGAUGCAGCCUGGCACAGCCAGUGCAAGGGCAGUGGGGCAGAGGAGGAAGAGAAAAGAGGCAGGCAGGCAAGUUCUGGAGGAAGAGUUGGGGACAGACUGCGAUAAGAGUGAGGAGAGGUGAGGACGGGAAGAUGUCUGCAUUAGAGAGCUAAAUAAGCAGCAUGCAAGGUAUAAGCCAAACACAAUACUGCUGACUGUCCAUUACUUUGGGGUCAACAAUUUAGACACCUUCUGAGACGUCAUGAUCAAUGCCUUCAAGCGACUCUCCACUAACAGACCCCUACAAAUAUACACAUGAAACCCACAAAAGGAGAGACUGAGUCAUAGAAUAGAAAUCCGGAGGCCAGUGUACAUGUGGGAAUCCAGAUUUUAAGGGACCAGUGAUGGAGUAACCAGCCAAGUUUCUGAAGACCUAAGACUUAGCAUGGCAAGCUGGACUCUGCCUUUUCCCCCAGCCUUUCUUUAGGCUGAGGAAGUAGCUGAGCUCUGCAAAGACUAGCUCCCCCAAGCAACUCUCAGGACCAGGGGAGGCCCUAAGAACAUUAACUCAAGCAAUAUAAAGGAGAAAUGUUCUCCCCGCCCCACUCCCUGCCAGCCACAUUUAAGGUCCCAGAGGCCAGAUGUCUGGUUAUAGCUAGAGCCCAAGGAGUCUCUUUAGCAGCAGGAAGAGCCUUAUUACAGCUGGUUGGGCCUCCCAGAGCUAAACUCAGAGGCUGCAGGGCAACAACUGGGGUCAUUUACCUCUUUCGACACCCAUCCCAAAGAGGCACGGGUGGAUGGCCACCAGGGGACAGGAUCACAGGGAUUUCACAAACCAGGGAAAAGGUGGACCCAAUGCUCCUGGGUCCCUGACAACAGCUAGGCGAGUCAGUACGUCUGGAAUAGGGACCAGGGUUGGGCAGCCCAGUCUCCAGGCCAGCUGAAGGACCCCCAAGGCAACUCCAGAUUUGUUCCUUGGCUGAGUGAGGCAAAGCUGGCAACUGGGAAGCUCUGCAGUACCAGAGGGGACCGCUAGGGAGUGCUCGCCAACAGCCAGGCUCCAGAGAGGCAGGAGGCGGCUGCCGAGGAGAAGACCGGAAGGCAAUCGAUCAGAGUCGCCCUGGCAACCGGGCUGAGCCCGAGACAGACAGCCCGUCGAUAAUGAAAUCAUCGUUAAAUGACUUCAAGCCCUAAUUAAUAAUCCAGGCCAACUGAGGCCACGCCUGACUGGGGUCGGGGGGAGGGGACGUCAUUGUUGGGGGAGCAUUGGAAGCUUCUGGACAAUUAAUCAAUUAAUCCACUCACUCAAUAAUUGGCUCCUUUGUCCUCUGCCGUGCCCCCCUCCCCCACCCCAUCCACCUCUGACUGUGGAGAGGGUAAGAAGAGAUGUGGGGCUAAUCGUUUCCAAGGGCCAUGGUGCCUCCCUCUCCUUUUUAUCUGUAUGCCUGU